AGACUUAACGCGAAAUGGAAAACUCACGAAAUAAUCGGACGACCCGACAUUACGUACAACGUUAAUGUACACUGUAGAAAUUCAAUCGAGAACUAUUUAAUUUGGCGACGGACACAGACGGAAACGAUUCGAUUUAAAGGCGGCCGAAAAGGUCCGAAAAUUCCGGUUAUAUUUCUCGGUAAACACGAGCGCAAUUCGGUGCGCCGUUGUCCGAAGUGAGCGCUUUGAGAACCGUGUAUCGCGUUUUAUUCUGAACUAUUAAGUGUUCCGGGAGUGUAUAGUUUUAAUAAUAAUACCGCAAUCCCGACACCGCUUUUUAUCUGCAUGUGUGCAUGAAUGACACAACCGUUUAGGGAUUUCGGCGAGUGUCCGGACGGCCUCGGAGAUUCCGUUCGAGUACACAGUUUUCGCGUUCGGUUUUCGUUCGCUUGGUGAUCGACUGGAAUCUAUCGACAGCAACAACUCGCGUUAUAUUAUCGCGCUGUAAAGUAAUUUUCUCCGUAACAAUAGUUUAUUUAUAUUAUUCGAUUGUUCGAAAAGACUUUUGGAAUUCAUUUAAUGCGAUGCGGCGGCGACGGCCAAUGCUGUUAUCAGUCGUCAUCGGUAUCACAAAACGGUUUG